UGCCGGAUCGUCUAAUGGUAGGACGCUUGGUUUUGGUCCAAGUAAUUGGGGUUCGAGUCCCUGUCCGGCAGCAA
rnacentral:tRNA from 1 species